rnacentral:rRNA from 1 species
GCCCAGACUCCUACGGGAGGCAGCAGUGGGGAAUAUUGCACAAUGGGGGAAACCCUGAUGCAGCGACGCCGCGUGAGUGAAGAAGUAUUUCGGUAUGUAAAGCUCUAUCAGCAGGGAAGAAAAUGACGGUACCUGAUUAAGAAGCCCCGGCUAACUACGUGCCAGCAGCCGCGGUAAUACGUAGGGGGCAAGCGUUAUCCGGAUUUACUGGGUGUAAAGGGGGCGCAGACGGCAGCGCAAGCCAGGAGUGAAAGCCCGGGGCCCAACCCCGGGACUGCUCUUGGAACUGCGCGGCUGGAGUGCAGGAGGGGCAGGCGGAAUUCCUAGUGUAGCGGUGAAAUGCGUAGAUAUUAGGAGGAACACCAGUGGCGAAGGCGGCUUACUGGACGGCAACUGACGCUGAGGCUCGAAAGCGUGGGGAGCAAACAGGAUUAGAUACCCUCGUAUG